UGGAAUUAUUGUCAAGAGGACAAUCACAGCUCUCUGUGUUCCUGUCACAGCUUCAGUUUAGGAUUUGGAUCAGUCGGCAAUCCGACUGCGGUCUGUUGGUUCUUCCUCAUUAACUGUCUGGAUCACAUCCUCUUCUGGAUUCUGCGCCUCAUUCCCAGACUGAGAAGUGAUUCGUGGAAGCUGAUUGCUGCUCUCCUGCUAUCUGAUCCUGAGUUACUGAAUAAACCUUUUAUCUUUUCA